rnacentral:rRNA from 1 species
UCCGACCUCAGAUCGGACGAGAUUACCCGCUGAAUUUAAGCAUAUAACUAAGCGGAGGAAAAGAAACUAACAAGGAUUCCCUCAGUAACGGCGAGUGAAGCGGGAAUAGCCCAGCACCGAAUCCCUCAGUGUCAUGCUGACGGGAACUGUGGUGUGUGGGACGCCACCAGUCGCAUCAGAGGGCGCCGAAGUCCUCCUGAUCGGGGCUUCACCCAGAGCGGGUGUAAGGCCUUUGCGGGUGCCUCUCUGUGCGGCCGCGAGCGUCUCAGGAGUCGGGUUGUUUGGGAAUGCAGCCCAAAGCGGGUGGUAAACUCCA